AGCAGCCGCGGUAAUUCCAGCUCCAAUAGCGUAUAUUAAAGUUGUUGCAGUUAAAAAGCUCGUAGUUGAAUUUCGGGGUCAGUAGAUUGGUCGUGCCACUGGUAUGCACUGGUCUUACUGGCUCCUCCUUCCUGAUGAACCGUAAUGCCAUUAAUUUGGUGUUGUGGGGAGACUGGACUGUUACUUUGAAAAAUUAGAGUGUUUAAAGCAGGCUAACGCUUGAAUACAUUAGCAUGGAAUAAUGAAAUAGGACGUUCGAUCUUAUUUUGUUGGUUUCUAAGAUUGACGUAAUGAUUAAUAGGGAUAGUUGGGGGCAUUAGUAUUCAAUUGUCAGAGGUGAAAUUCUUGGAUUUAUUAGAAGACUAACUACUGCGAAAGCAUUUGCCAAGGAUGUUUUCUAUUAAUCAAGAACGAAAGUUAGGGGAUCGAAGACGAUCAGA
rnacentral:rRNA from 1 species